CCUACGGGAGGCAGCAGUAGGGAAUCUUCCGCAAUGGACGAAAGUCUGACGGAGCAACGCCGCGUGAGCGAUGAAGGCCUUCGGGUCGUAAAGCUCUGUUGUUAGGGAAGAACAAGUGCUAGUUGAAUAAGCUGGCGCCUUGACGGUACCUAACCAGAAAGCCACGGCUAACUACGUGCCAGCAGCCGCGGUAAUACGUAGGUGGCAAGCGUUGUCCGGAAUUAUUGGGCGUAAAGCGCGCGCAGGCGGUUUCUUAAGUCUGAUGUGAAAGCCCCCGGCUCAACCGGGGAGGGUCAUUGGAAACUGGGAAACUUGAGUGCAGAAGAGGAAAGUGGAAUUCCAAGUGUAGCGGUGAAAUGCGUAGAGAUUUGGAGGAACACCAGUGGCGAAGGCGACUUUCUGGUCUGUAACUGACGCUGAGGCGCGAAAGCGUGGGGAGCAAACAGGAUUAGAUACCCUGGUAGUCCACGCUGUAAACGAUGAGUGCUAAGUGUUAGAGGGUUUCCGCCCUUUAGUGCUGAAGUUAACGCAUUAAGCACUCCGCCUGGGGAGUACGGUCGCAAGACUGAAACUCAAAGGAAUUGACGG
rnacentral:rRNA from 1 species